UAAAAGGUUGGGAAACAUUAUAUACUCCCCGCAGUAAACUCGCCUUAAUUUCCUACAUAGCUCGAGUCAUGGGCAUGGCCCUUCGUUCUCUUCCUGCUAGCUUCCCACACCACACACACACACACACACACACACACACACACACCACACACACACACACACACACACCACACACAAUCACACACACACACACACACACACACACACACACACACACACACACAAUGGCUGUCUUUCUGUCCAUUUUUUUAUUUUACCCCUUUAAUUUGAAAUGCAUUUAUUCAAAAUGAUAACUUUUGACAAUUGGACUUCAACAUGUGAGUCAAACGCACAUCGGACACAGGCGGACAGACAGACAGACAGACAGACCAACUAGCACAAACGCACACACAGUGACAUCCUCAGGGGCCUUUAUUGCUGGCCAGCACACAUGGAGGUCAUUUCAACAGCCUGUCUUCCCCUAAAACCCUUAAAUGGCUUUAACAGCGGGCCGAGCUAGACCAGACACAAACUAAACAGGCGCAUGAGUGUGAUUGCACACGUCCAAUGGCACACAGGAGUAUUUCAAGAUACACACACGCAACCAGCCGAGCUCAAGGGGAACGUAUAACAACGGGGAUUACAACUCCGGCAAUUGAAUUACACAUUGGGAGACAUGAGCAGGACUGAAUGCAUAUAUGUCCGCUGUGCUUAAACCUUCUGUCAAACUCAAACGUUGGUGAAGCCAUGGUUGGAAUAUGCGUGGACGAGAUUGACGAUGAGAGCAGAGGGAGGCUGUUAAUUCUUGACGACAGCGGGUUCGAAGAAUUUGUAGACGACACAGGUGGACGGAGAAUUUCCCUCGUCGUUUCAAGUCAGUCGACGCGAAACUGGCUUUAUCGGCCAAACAUCACCGGCGGGCGUCCAGCAGAGCAAAGCAAAGGCAGGCGGACCGACUGUUCACGGAGAGGACAACCUAACGGAGAGAUUACCGAGUCAUUAUUUAGCCAGGCAUGCGGAAAGAGACUUUGCUCGGGGACGGAGAGAAAAUACGUGCAGUGUAGGCGUGCCAUUGAUGUUGGGUCUGGGGCUGUGAGGCCUGCUUU
rnacentral:lncRNA from 1 species